rnacentral:rRNA from 1 species
GUCGAGCGAAUGGAUGGGAGCUUGCUCCCUGAAGUUAGCGGCGGACGGGUGAGUAACACGUGGGCAACCUGCCUGUAAGACUGGGAUAACUUCGGGAAACCGGAGCUAAUACCGGAUAACUUCUUUCCUCGCAUGAGGAAAGGUUAAAAGACGGUUAUGCUGUCACUUACAGAUGGGCCCGCGGCGCAUUAGCUAGUUGGUGAGGUAACGGCUCACCAAGGCGACGAUGCGUAGCCGACCUGAGAGGGUGAUCGGCCACACUGGGACUGAGACACGGCCCAGACUCCUACGGGAGGCAGCAGUAGGGAAUCUUCCGCAAUGGACGAAAGUCUGACGGAGCAACGCCGCGUGAGUGAAGAAGGUCUUCGGAUCGUAAAACUCUGUUAUCAGGGAAGAAUAAGUACCGUGUAACUAACGGUACCUUGACGGUACCUGACCAGAAAGCCACGGCUAACUACGUGCCAGCAGCCGCGGUAAUACGUAGGUGGCAAGCGUUGUCCGGAAUUAUUGGGCGUAAAGCGCGCGCAGGCGGUUUCUUAAGUCUGAUGUGAAAUCUCGCGGCUCAACCGUGAGCGGUCAUUGGAAACUGGGAAACUUGAGUGCAGAAGAGAAGAGCGGAAUUCCACGUGUAGCGGUGAAAUGCGUAGAGAUGUGGAGGAACACCAGUGGCGAAGGCGGCUCUUUGGUCUGUAACUGACGCUGAGGCGCGAAAGCGUGGGG